UACGAAGGGGGCUAGCGUUGUUCGGAAUUACUGGGCGUAAAGCGCGCGUAGGCGGCUUUGUCAGUCAGGGGUGAAAUCCCGGGGCUCAACCUCGGAAUUGCCUUUGAUACUGCAAGGCUUGAAUCCGUGAGAGGGUGGUGGAAUAUCCAGUGUAGAGGUGAAAUUCGUAGAUAUUGGAUGGAACACCAGUGGCGAAGGCGGCCACCUGGCACGGUAUUGACGCUGAGGUG
rnacentral:rRNA from 1 species